rnacentral:piRNA from 1 species
UGGCCUUGAACUUCCCAUCCUUCUGCCU